rnacentral:rRNA from 1 species
AUUGAACGCUGGCGGCAGGCUUAACACAUGCAAGUCGAACGAGUGGCGGACGGGUGGGUAAUGCUUGGGAGUCUGGCUUAUGGAGGGGGAUAACGACGGGAAACUAUCGCUAAUACAGCGUACCCGAGGAUGAGGCCAAGUGGGAUUGGCUAGUGGGUGGGGUAAGUGCCUACUAAGCCGACAAGCGCUAGCUGGUCUGAUAGGAUGACCAGCCACACUGGGACUGAGACACUGCCCUGACUCCUACGGGAGGCAGCAGUGGGGAAUAUUGCGCAAUUGGUGAAACCUGACGCAGCCAUGCAGCGUGAAUGAAGAAGGCCUUCGGGUUGUAAAGUUCUUUCGGUGACGAGGCGUUAAUCACAGAAGAAGCACCGGCUAACUCCGUGCCAGCAGCCGCGGUAAUUC